rnacentral:rRNA from 1 species
UACAGGGGGUGCAAACGUUGCUCGGAAUUAUUGGGCGUAAAGAGCUCGUAGGCGGCUUGUCGCGUCGUCCGUGAAAACCUGCGGCUCAACUGCAGGCUGGCGGUCGAUACGGGCAGGCUGGAGUUCGGUAGGGGAGACUGGAAUUCCUGGUGUAGCGGUGAAAUGCGCAGAUAUCAGGAGGAACGCCGGAGGCGAAAGCGAGUGACUGGCGCGUUCCUGACGCUGAGGUGCGAAAGCUAGGGGAGCAAACAGG